UAUUGGGCAAUGGGCGAAAGCCUGACCCAGCAACGCCGCGUGAAGGAAGAAGGUCUUCGGAUUGUAAACUUCUUUUAUGACGGACGAAGGACGUGACGGUACCUCACGAAUACGCUACCNCUAACUCCGUUUCAGCAGCCGCGGUAAUACGUAGGUGGCAAGCGUUAUCCGGAUUUACUGGGUGUAAAGGGCGCGUAGGCGGGGAUGCAAGUCAGAUGUGAAAUCUAUGGGCUCAACCCAUAAACUGCAUUUGAAACUGUAUCUCUUGAGUGCUGGAGAGGUAGAUGGAAUUCCUUGUGUAGCGGUGAAAUGCGUAGAUAUAAGGAAGAACACCAGUGGCGAAGGCGAUCUACUGGACAGUAACUGACGCUGAGGCGCGAGAGCGUGGGGAGCAAA
rnacentral:rRNA from 1 species